AUUGAACGCUGGCGGCAUGCCUUACACAUGCAAGUCGAACGGCAGCACGGGUGCUUGCACCUGGUGGCGAGUGGCGAACGGGUGAGUAAUACAUCGGAACAUGUCCUGUAGUGGGGGAUAGCCCGGCGAGAGCCGGAUUAAUACCGCAUACGAUCCACGGAUGAAGGCGGGGGACCUUCGGGCCUCGCGCUAUAGGGUUGGCCGAUGGCUGAUUAGCUAGUUGGUGGGGUAAAGGCCUACCAAGGCGACGAUCAGUAGCUGGUCUGAGAGGACGACCAGCCACACUGGGACUGAGACACGGCCCAGACUCCUACGGGAGGCAGCAGUGGGGAAUUUUGGACAAUGGGCGAAAGCCUGAUCCAGCAAUGCCGCGUGUGUGAAGAAGGCCUUCGGGUUGUAAAGCACUUUUGUCCGGAAAGAAAUCCUUGACUCUAAUACAGUCGGGGGAUGACGGUACCGGAAGAAUAAGCACCGGCUAACUACGUG
rnacentral:rRNA from 1 species